rnacentral:rRNA from 1 species
UACAGAGGGUGCGAGCGUUGUGCGGAAUCACUGGGCGUAAAGGGCGCGUAGGUGGCGCUGCAAGUCGGUGGUGAAAGCUCGAUGCUUAACAUCGAGUCGGCCAUCGAAACUGCAGGGCUCGAGCACUGUAGGGGCAGAUGGAAUUCCGGGUGUAGCGGUGGAAUGCGUAGAGAUCCGGAAGAACACCAGUGGCGAAGGCGGUCUGCUGGGCAGUAGCUGACACUGAUGCGCGACAGCGUGGGGAGCAAACAGG